rnacentral:rRNA from 1 species
UACGGAGGGUGGCAAGCGUUAUCCGGAAUUAUUGGGCGUAAAGAGCUCGUAGGCGGUUUGUCGCGUCUGCGUGUGAAAACCCGAGGCUCAACCUCGGGCCUGCAGUGGGUAACGGGCAGACUAGAGUGCGGUAGGGGAGAUUGGAAUCCUGGUGUGAGCGGUGGAAUGCGCAGAUAUCAGGAGGAACACCGGUGGCGAAGGCGGAUCUCUGGGCCUUAACCUGACGCUCGAGGCGCGAAAGCUAGGGGAGCGAACAGG